UACGUAGGGGGCGAGCGUUAUCCGGAAUUACUGGGCGUAAAGGGUGUGCAGGCGGGGAUACAAGUGGUGUAUGAAAUCUCCCAGCUUAACUGGGAGCGGUUAUGCCAGACUGUAUUUCUAGAGGACGAGAGAGGGGGGGUGGAAUUCCGGGUGUAGUGGUGAAAUGCGCAGAUAUCGGGAGGAACACCUAUAGCGAAGGCAGCUUGCUGGGACGUUACUGACGCUAAGGCGCGAAAGCGUGGGGAGCGAACAGG
rnacentral:rRNA from 1 species